GCCAGACUCCUACGGGAGGCAGCAGUGGGGAAUAUUGCACAAUGGGCGAAAGCCUGAUGCAGCAACGCCGCGUGAGCGAUGAAGGCCUUCGGGUCGUAAAGCUCUGUCCUCAAGGAAGAUAAUGACGGUACCUGACUAAGAAGCCCCGGCUAACUACGUGCCAGCAGCCGCGGUAAUACGUAGGGGGCAAGCGUUAUCCGGAUUUACUGGGUGUAAAGGGAGCGUAGGCGGCAGUGCAAGUCAGAAGUGAAAGCCCGGGGCUCAACUCCGGGACUGCUUUUGAAACUGUACAGCUUGAUUGCAGGAGAGGCAAGUGGAAUUCCUAGUGUAGCGGUGAAAUGCGUAGAUAUUAGGAGGAACACCAGUGGCGAAGGCGGCUUGCUGGACUGUAAAUGACGCUGAGGCUCGAAAGCGUGGGGAGCAAACAGGAUUAGAUACCCGAGUA
rnacentral:rRNA from 1 species